rnacentral:rRNA from 1 species
UGCGUAGGCGGCCGAUUAAGUUGGAUGUGAAAUACCCGGGCUUAACCUGGGGGUGCAUCCAAUACUGGUUGGCUAGAGUGCAGGAGAGGGAAGCGGAAUUCCUAGUGUAGCGGUGAAAUGCGUAGAUAUUAGGAGGAACACCAGUGGCGAAGGCGGCUUUCUGGACUGUAACUGACGCUGAUGCACGAAAGCGUGGGGAGCAAACAG